GAUGAAGAACGCAGCGAAAUGCGAUAAGUAAUGCGAAUUGCAGAAUUCAGUGAGUCAUCGAAUCUUUGAACGCACAUUGCGCCCCUUGGUAUUCCAUGGGGCAUGCCUGUUCGAGCGUCAUUUGUACCUUCAAGCUUUGCUUGGUGUUGGGUGUUUGUCUCGCCUCCGCGUGUAGACUCGCCUCAAAACAAUUGGCAGCCGGCGUAUUGAUUUCGGAGCGCAGUACAUCUCGCGCUUUGCACUCACAACGACGACGUCCAAAAGUACAUUUUUACACUCUUGACCUCGGAUCAGGUAGGGAUACCCGCUGAACUUAAGCAUAUCAAUAAGCGGAGGA
rnacentral:misc_RNA from 1 species